AUUGAACGCUGGCGGCAUGCUUUACACAUGCAAGUCGAACGAGUGGCGCACGGGUGAGUAAUACAUCGGAACGUGUCCUAUCGUAGGGGAUAACUGAUCGAAAGAUCAGCUAAUACCGCAUACGAUUGGAGCGGCCGAUGCCCGAUUAGCCAGUUGGUGAGGUAAAGGCUCACCAAGGCGACGAUCGGUAGCUGGUCUGAGAGGACGUCCACCCAAACUGGGACUGAGAAACGGCCCAGAUUCCUACGGGAGGCAGCGGGGGGGAAUUUUGGAAAAUGGGGCAACCCUGAUCCAGCCAUGCCGCGUGCAGGAUGAAGGUCUUCGGAUUGUAAACUGCUUUUGGCAGGGAGGCGGUACCUGAAGAAUAAGCACCGGCUAACUACGUGCCAGCAGCCGCGGUAAUUC
rnacentral:rRNA from 1 species